GUGUUAUCUAAUUAAGCUCCUUAACAGUUUCAUGAGAUGAUGGGCGAUGAAAAAAACACCUCUGCAGUAGCUGCGGCACUUGGAACCAUGCUAUUACUAGGCUUCACCUUCACCUACCCUUUAUAUAGCAUGGCCACUUGUGGUGGUUAAUGAAUGGGCAUGGACGUGAAGCUGCUUUCAAUCAAUAGAGAACAUGUGUUGCCCCAGACCAAGCUCCACACAUUACUCUUGGUAAUUUAUCAGGUUGGCUGCCACCUCUGAGUUUAUACAUAAUGAGAUCAUUCGGUAGUAAUUUGUGCUGUAGAUAUGAGUUUUGAGAAGAGAAAAAAGACAUGUAAAAUCGUACCAUAUAAUAAUUAUAUUGUUUCUUUCAAAAUACUUGACAUGGAUACUUGCACCUCCUGAGU